GACAAGAAUGGGAGCAAGGAUAUUCUAGUUAGAGAAAACAGCCCAUACAAAAGCCUUGAGGCAGGGUGGCGGCUUCGAGUGCUCUGGGAGCUGAAACCAGACCGGUGCGGCUGAAACACAGGGCACAAGGCAAGGGCAUGUGGCACAGAUGCGGUCAGGGGCAGGAAAUAGCCAGUUGGAGUGGGCAGAGCAAGGUAAGGACUGAUGACUUUAAUUUAAGGGAAUGAAAAGUGAUCAGAAGGAUUUCUUUUUUUUUUAGGAGUCUCGCUCUGUCACCCAGGCUGGAGUGCAGCGGUGCGAUCUCGGCUCACAAUCAGGAUUUUGAGUCAAUCAGGGAUGUGACAUGAUUUGCAUGCUGAAGGACGCUGUGGCUGUUGUGUGAAUAACGGACUGGUGGGAGAGACGAAAAAAAUGCAGGGGGACCAUUUAGGAGGCCAAGGUGGUGGUUCAGGAGAGAGACGGGUGGUGACUGUGGAGAUGAAGAGGAAGGGACAGGGCUGGGAAAUAGUUUGUAUGGGGUGGGGAGAAAAGAGAGUGUCAGGAAUGACUCCCGUGUUCCUGACUUGAUCCUCUUGCAUAAUAUGGUGUGAUUUCCUGUGAUGAAGCAGGCUGGGAGGGGAGGUCCAGGGACCCCACACAACCUUGAGGUCCCAUCUUUGUCUUGAUGAUAACCCCCUAACCCUCCCAAGGCAUUUGAUUUGAAAUGUAAUUUGGGAUCACUUUCUUGGCCUCCUCCAGUGAAUGUGAUUUGACGAUGAUUUCUAAACUGUGGCAUUCUUGUUAUUAAAAACCCUCCUCUAAGGAAGCAGAAUAGAUGCAAGUCUUUAUCAUCCGGGUCCCUGUCCUCCCAAGUUUCCUGGGGUUGGACUGUGUACGGCGGGCCGCUCCAGCAGCAGGAGGCAGACACAGAGCCUCCCCUACUGCAUCCCUUCACCAUUUCCACCCCACAGCACAGGCUGUGCCCUCUCCAAAUGGGGGACUGUGCUUCACAUGCAGGAAGGGGAGAAGCCACUGCGUCCUGAAAGAACAUGAAUAAAUAUAACUUGUUUUCUGUUUAAUUAUCCAGUCUCCUGAGAACGCUCAGUCAUGGCUGUGUUUUGUAAACAGGCAUCUGCAGACCAUUUUGAACAGUUUACAUCAGUGUAUUUGUUUUUGAUUCCAAUUUCCCGAGUGUGCCAUGGUGCUGAUGAACUCCUGAUGAGGGGUUCCUGUGCCAGCUAUCAGCUCUGCUGCUCCCAGGGACCACGGGGCUCCUGCUGCCUUCUUUUUGUAAAGGAAACAUUGCUCACAGCCUCCUAGCCCCUCUCUACGCAUGGCUCCCAGGGACCUCCGUCCUCUACCUCCUGGUCCAGGAGGAGCCGUGAUCAGACUCUGCUCCUCACUAUGGGAGACUCCUGGUAUCCUGGUUUCAGGGCUCACCUGAGAAGCUCUUACAGCUUGUUUGCUGAAUAUUUAGUAACCUGGGUAGGGAGUUCAGCUGAGCCCAAUUGUUAGAAGGGCAGGGGCACUGGCCCCUGAUGGCCUGGUUUAGACUUUGGCAGAGGGGUUCAGGAGCGGGGUUUGGAAAAGCCUCAUCCCUCUCCAACUGAUGACACUGCGGGCACGAGCAGAAAGCGGAGACGUGGAGUAAGGAAGCCCUCUGAGUGCAGUGGUAAGAAAGGAGGCUGGAGAUGUUGGGAGGGCUGGCGGGGCCUGUGGUCUGGUGAGGAGUCUAUGUUUGAUUUUCUUACAAGCUGUUGUAGGAUUCUAUGCAGGAUACUAAAAUGGUCUGAUUUACACCUUUAAAGACCAUCUGUGUAUUGGUUGAGAUGGUCUUCAGCUGCAUUAACAGAAAAUCCUGACUGGAAAUGGGGCUGGCUAAUUCGGAAAUUCGACUAUCUCCAUCACGAGAAGGCCCCAGUGCAUGUUUUCUGGGCAGGUGAAUUCCAUGGUUCCAGAAUGUGACCAAAGCCUCAGGCUCUCUCUUUUCUGCCCUGCAGUCCUCAGUACGCUGCCUUGAUGCCCGUCGGGGUUACUGGGAGGCCUACAAACAGGUGGAGGCAUCACAGUGGCUAAACAAGCUCUGGCCUUGAGAUAAGCAAUGCUGGAACAACUGCAGCUCCCCUGGAGGCCGACUCACUGCCCCAGCCCCUGUUCCGCAAGUCACAACUACAGCUUCGACUGGACAAGAGACUGAUUUCAGUGACCUUCUCCUGAUAAGAAGACCACUGCCCCUGGACUGAUCCUGGCUGGUUUACACAGGCUGCACACUUGAGUGCCUUCACAUCCUGAAAAGACCCUUUCACCUAUGGAGCCUAACUGUAAUAGAGUUAAAUGUUAAUUUUCCACCCCAAAGUGAAAAUGGGUCAUAUGUUACAUGCAUGUUUGUACAUACAUACACAUGCACCAGGACCACCUUCCUAAAUAUCCACAGCUCCUCCCGUAACCUGUAGAAUAUGUCUACUUGGCCAACCACAUUCAGCAUAAAGCUCCAACCCCAACCCCUUCUUCUAAACGCCUGUCUCUGGUCUUUUCUGCACUGCCCAGCCCGCGGGAUGGCCACCUUGCAGGCUGUAAUCCUUUAUAGGAAAGAAAGUCUCCUUUUCUAAAUUGA